AUUGAACGCUGGCGGCAUGCUUUACACAUGCAAGUCGAACGCGAAAGGGGGCAACCCUGAGUAGAGUGGCGCACGGGUGAGUAAUACAUCGGAACGUGUCCUGUAAUGGGGGAUAAUGCAGCGAAAGCUGUGCUAAUACCGCAUACGUCCUACGGGAGAAAGCGGGGGACCGCAAGACCUCGCGUUAUAGGAGCGGCCGAUGCCGGAUUAGCUAGUUGGUGGGGUAAAGGCCUACCAAGGCAACGAUCCGUAGCUGGUCUGAGAGGAUGAUCAGCCACACUGGGACUGAGACACGGCCCAGACUCCUACGGGAGGCAGCAGUGGGGAAUUUUGGACAAUGGGCGCAAGCCUGAUCCAGCCAUGCCGCGUGAGUGAAGAAGGCCUCGGUUGUAAG
rnacentral:rRNA from 1 species